GACGAACGCUGGCGGCGUGCUUAACACAUGCAAGUCGAACGGAAAGGCCCUGCUUUUGUGGGGUGCUCGAGUGGCGAACGGGUGAGUAACACGUGAGUAACCUGCCCUUGACUUUGGGAUAACUUCAGGAAACUGGGGCUAAUACCGGAUAGGAGCUCCUGCUGCAUGGUGGGGGUUGGAAAGUUUCGGCGGUUGGGGAUGGACUCGCGGCUUAUCAGCUUGUUGGUGGGGUAGUGGCUUACCAAGGCUUUGACGGGUAGCCGGCCUGAGAGGGUGACCGGCCACAUUGGGACUGAGAUACGGCCCAGACUCCUACGGGAGGCAGCAGUGGGGAAUAUUGCACAAUGGGCGGAAGCCUGAUGCAGCAACGCCGCGUGCGGGAUGACGGCCUUCGGGUUGUAAACCGCUUUCGCCUGUGACGAAGCGUGAGUGAAGGUAAUGGGUAAAGAAGCACCGGCUAACUACG
rnacentral:rRNA from 1 species